GAUGAACGCUGGCGGCGUGCCUAAUACAUGCAAGUCGAGCGAACAGACGAGGAGCUUGCUCCUCUAACGUUAGCGGCGGACGGGUGAGUAACACGUGGAUAACCUACCUAUAAGACUGGGAUAACUUCGGGAAACCGGAGCUAAUACCGGAUAAUAUAUUGAACCGCAUGGUUCAAUAGUGAAAGACGGUUUUGCUGUCACUUAUAGAUGGAUCCGCGCCGCAUUAGCUAGUUGGUAAGGUAACAGCUUACCAAGGCAACGAUGCGUAGCCGACCUGAGAGGGUGAUCGGCCACACUGGAACUGAGACACGGUCCAGACUCCUACGGGAGGCAGCAGUAGGGAAUCUUCCGCAUUGGGCGAAAGCCUGACGGAGCAACGCCGCGUGAGUGAUGAAGGUCUUCGGAUCGUAAAACUCUGUUAUUAGGGAAGAACAAAUGUGUAAGUAACUAUGCACGUCUUGACGGUACCUAAUCAGAAAGCCACGGCUAACUACGU
rnacentral:rRNA from 1 species